AGAGUUUGAUCCUGGCUCAGGAUGAAACGCUAGCGGCAGGCUUAAUACAUGCAAGGCAGGGGGCAGCAAUGUCACCGUCGUACGGGUGCGUAACGCGUAUGCAACCUACCUUCAACUAGGGGAUAGCCGGGAAACCCGGAUUAAUACCGCAUAAUACAUUGAUAUAGCAUUAUAUUAAUUGUUAAAGAUUUAUUGGUUGAAGAUGGGCAUGCGUUCGAUUAGCUAGUUGGCAGGGUAACGGCCUACCAAGGCUACGAUCGAUAGGGGAGCUGAGAGGUUGAUCCCCCACACGGGCACUGAGAUACGGGCCCGACUCCUACGGGAGGCAGCAGUAGGGAAUAUUGGGCAAUGGAUGCAAGUCUGACCCAGCCAUGCCGCGUGCCGGGUGAAGGCCCUCAGGGUUGUAAACGGCUUUUAUUCGGGAAGAAGAGCGGGGAUGCGUCCUUGUGUGACGGUACCGAAUGAAUAAGCACCGGCUAACUCCGUG
rnacentral:rRNA from 1 species